CCACCGCAGCCACCAUGCAGCAGUAAAAGUUCUCCAGCCAACCGCAGGGCAAGGUGUGUCAUUCCUUCGCCCCUUCAUCUCCUCUCAGUGCCAGUUACAGAAUGUGGCAGCCCAUGCAGAGGCUCGGCGCCAGAGCCUCCAAACCAGCAGCAGCCCCGGACUCCCAGAUGAUACACAGAGCCUAGCCGGGCUACCCGAGCCACCUGGGACCGGGGAGAAGAACGCAACGCCACAACUUACAUUCUUUAACAGAAGAAUAUUUUGGGUCAGUGUGAGUCUUCAGGAAGUGAGCCUGUGAACAUUGCGGUGGAAGAGAGAGCUUCACUUGACAAAACACGAGCUGUGGGAACAGUUCCCUUGAGCCAAAGGACCCUGAUGUCCAUCUGCUGUACCUUUCCAGAAAGGCUGCUCUGCAUAGGAGGAAGCUACCAAGGGAAAGCCUGUGAAAAUGGACCUGGGAUCCCUUUAUAUAUAGUUAUACUUAUCAAUGUAUUAUGCUGUUGUACUUACACAGUUAGAGGUAUAUGGAUAUUUAGAUAGAUAUACUGAUAUUUGCAUGCUUAGAUAUAGGCAGUACAGUUGUAGCAAUCUGCAAUAAAUUAA